AUAUCUUUUUCGGUCUUUUGGCUAAGACAAAGUAUAAUAUUUAUUUUUAUCAGUUUAAUAUCUGAUAUAUCGACUAUAUAUUUAUUUUGAUAUUAAAUUUAUUUUAUAUGAGUUUUUUCAAAACGUGUCCACGAUGCUGGCUUACUAGUUUCUCGCCCGUUGCGCUGCUUGUCGGCAUCAAAUAUAAUAUA
rfam:Zea mays cultivar B73 chromosome 2, whole genome shotgun sequence.